rfam:Beta vulgaris subsp. vulgaris Bvchr5.sca008.con0289.1, whole genome shotgun sequence.
GGACUUGUAAGCUCUAACCGGGAAGAGCGCCCAAAUCUAUUUGGGAGGUUGGUGGUUCAAAUCCAUCUUGGUCCU